rnacentral:rRNA from 2 species
GGAAAGGCCCUUCGGGGUACUCGAGUGGCGAACGGGUGAGUAACACGUGGGUGAUCUGCCCUGCACUUUGGGAUAAGCCUGGGAAACUGGGUCUAAUACCGAAUAUGACCAUGCACUUCCUGGUGUGUGGUGGAAAGCUUUUGCGGUGUGGGAUGGGCCCGCGGCCUAUCAGCUUGUUGGUGGGGUAAUGGCCUACCAAGGCGACGACGGGUAGCCGGCCUGAGAGGGUGACCGGCCACACUGGGACUGAGAUACGGCCCAGACUCCUACGGGAGGCAGCAGUGGGGAAUAUUGCACAAUGGGCGCAAGCCUGAUGCAGCGACGCCGCGUGAGGGAUGACGGCCUUCGGGUUGUAAACCUCUUUCAGCACAGACGAAGCGCAAGUGACGGUAUGUGCAGAAGAAGGACCGGCCAACUACGUGCCAGCAGCCGCGGUAAUACGUAGGGUCCGAGCGUUGUCCGGAAUUACUGGGCGUAAAGAGCUCGUAGGUGGUUUGUCGCGUUGUUCGUGAAAACUCACAGCUUAACUGUGGGCGUGCGGGCGAUACGGGCAGACUUGAGUACUGCAGGGGAGACUGGAAUUCCUGGUGUAGCGGUGGAAUGCGCAGAUAUCAGGAGGAACACCGGUGGCGAAGGCGGGUCUCUGGGCAGUAACUGACGCUGAGGAGCGAAAGCGUGGGGAGCGAACAGGAUUAGAUACCCUGGUAGUCCACGCCGUAAACGGUGGGUACUAGGUGUGGGUUUCCUUCCUUGGGAUCCGUGCCGUAGCUAACGCAUUAAGUACCCCGCCUGGGGAGUACGGCCGCAAGGCUAAAACUCAAAGAAAUUGACGGGGGCCCGCACAAGCGGCGGAGCAUGUGGAUUAAUUCGAUGCAACGCGAAGAACCUUACCUGGGUUUGACAUGCACAGGACGCUGGUAGAGAUAUCAGUUCCCUUGUGGCCUGUGUGCAGGUGGUGCAUGGCUGUCGUCAGCUCGUGUCGUGAGAUGUUGGGUUAAGUCCCGCAACGAGCGCAACCCUUGUCCU